UUCGAAGAUCUUUCUAAUAUCGAGUGGCCUUGUUGAGUAUCACAUGUCCAAGCUCCAUGAUUCAGCGCUGUUUCGCAAUAUCUCCUCCUACCCAUUGACUCCUGGGUGAAGAUCUAGAGGAGCAAGAAAUAGUACCUUGUUCAUGCAGGACACAAAGACGAAACAGUGAUGAUCCUGUUAAGAACCCGCAACCUCCUGAUUAUGAGCCUGGCGCUCUACACUCUUAAAAUUAAGUAGUAAAAAUAACUAUUUCAUAGCAAUUUUUUAGACUACGGCUGUGAAAUUUGUUGUUUUAGCUAUCAAAAUAGUGAUUCUUAACCAUUUUGAUGGUACUUUUUACUACUUUUUUUAAGUUGGAACAAUUAAUUAAUGGGUUGGUUUUUACUGAUUCUACUGUUCCUGCAAUAGAAACUACCACAAAUUAGUUGCUUUAACUAAUCAAUUUUAAGAGUGUAACCAUCAUGCUACUGAUCUCAAUAAUAGUACUCCCCUCAAUAAUAGACAAAAACUUGUUUCUUCUUCAGACGUAAAUGAAUGCGAUGAUGAACCAGGGCCAUGUGAUGAGAAUGCUGAGUGCAUCAAUCAGCCGGGAUCAUACACCUGUUCAUGUAACACUGGCUACAUCGGACAUGGUCACACUUGUUCUGACGUAGAUGAAUGUAAGACAAACCAACAUGCCUGUAAUGAACAUGCGGAGUGCGCUAACACUCCCGGUUCUUACAUCUGUGAAUGCCAGCCAGGUUAUAACGGUGAUGGAAGGAUUUGCACGCCCAUGGCUUUAGAAAGUGAUGAGAAUGCCACGCCCGCUCAAAACACAGCUUCACAGUUCAAAUUCCGAAUCGGGCCUUACAGACGUGACUUUGCUCGCACAGUAUGUGUGAGGUUGGAAG